UGAGUCCUAUGAGGGCUAAGUUUGUUUUAUUUUAUUGUAUUUUCAGAUUUGUAGUAUUUUGGUUUUGAUUAUGUACUUUUGGGGUGUUUUAUCCCCCACGCACAAUUUGGAAGUAAUGAUUAGUGUUUACGUUUUUAAAUUAUUGUGUUUGGUUUAAAUUUCUUUUGUUUUAAUAAAUUUUUGGUUGAUGAGUGUCAAAC
rnacentral:lncRNA from 1 species